GGUCUCGUGGUGUAGUGGUUAUCACAUUUGUCUUACACACAAAAGGUCUCCAGUUCGAACCUGGACGGGACCA